rnacentral:rRNA from 1 species
UAGGGAAUCUUCGGCAAUGUACGGAAGUCUGACCGAGCAACGCCGCGUGAGUGAAGAAGGUUUUCGGAUCGUAAAGCUCUGUUGUUAGAGAAGAACGUUGGUAGGAGUGGAAAAUCUACCAAGUGACGGUAACUAACCAGAAAGGGACGGCUAACUACGUGCCAGCAGCCGCGGUAAUACGUAGGUCCCGAGCGUUGUCCGGAUUUAUUGGGCGUAAUGCGAGCGCAAGCGGUUCUUUAAGUCUGAAGUUAAAGGCAGUGGCUUAACCAUUGUACGCUUUGGAAACUGGAGGACUUGAGUGCAGAAGGGGAGAGUGGAAUUCCAUGUGUAGCGGUGAAAUGCGUAGAUAUAUGGAGGAACACCGGUGGCGAAAGCGGCUCUCUGGUCUGUAACUGACGCUGAGGCUCGAAAGCGUGGGGAGCAAACAGG